GUAGUCAUAUGCUUGUCUCAAAGAUUAAGCCAUGCAUGUCUAAGUAUAAAUGAAUUUAUAUUGUGAAACUGCGAAUGGCUCAUUAAAUCAGUUAUGAUCUACGUGACAUAUUUCUUUACUACUUGGAUAACCGUGGUAAUUCUAGAGCUAAUACAUGCAAAAAAGCCCUGACUUCGGAAGGGGUGCACUUAUUAGAUAAAGCCAACGCUGGGUAAAACCAGUUUCCCUUGGUGAUUCAUAAUAAUUUAGCGGAUCGCAUGGCCUUGUGCUGGCGACGGUCCACUCGAUUUUCUGCCCUAUCAUGGUUGAGAUUGUAAGAUAGAGGCUUACAAUGCCUACAACGGGUAACGGGGAAU
rnacentral:rRNA from 1 species